rnacentral:misc_RNA from 1 species
ACGAGUCUUGACUGGGUUGUAGCUGGCCUUCCGAGGCAUGUGCACGCCCUGCUCAAUCCACUCUACACCUGUGCACUUAUUGUGGGUCUUGGAUGGUGGAAUGAGCUUUUAUUGGCUUGUGAAGCAGUCCGGGCUUACGUUUAUUACAAACCACACAAGUAUUGGAAUGUAUUGCAGUAUAAUGCAUUUAUAAA